rnacentral:rRNA from 1 species
UACGUAGGGGGCAAGCGUUGUCCGGAAUCAUUGGGCGUAAAGAGCGCGUAGGCGGCCCUGUAAGUCCGCUGUGAAAGUCAGGGGCUCAACCCUUGAAUGCCGGCGGAUACUGUCGGGCUAGAGUCCGGAAGAGGCGAGUGGAAUUCCUGGUGUAGCGGUGAAAUGCGCAGAUAUCAGGAGGAACACCAAUUGCGAAGGCAGCUCGCUGGGACGUUACUGACGCUGAGACGCGAAAGCGUGGGGAGCAAACAGG